GAGGAGCCCAUGGCAGCAUGGGGUGAGGAUGCAAGAGGAGCCUCUCCAAGCCUUCCUUCCAAUGGAAGGAAGUGCCACCAUUUCCUCAGCCCUUGGGCAAAUAAAGGUACGAUUUCAAACCUGUGCUCCUCUGACACACAGCUUCCCCCUGAACCUGUGUGAAACGACUGAUGAUCAUUUGUUACGUGAAGAGCGAGCCUUGUGAGAACUUGGCGUGAUCAAAGCCUGCUGCUUACAGAUGGAGGUGCUGAUGCUGCAGUAAGGCUGACAGCUUCCUUCUGUACUUCCUUAAUCAAAGAGGAGGGGGGAAUAAGACCCUUCAAAGUAUUGGAGGCAGUGUAACAGCACAUGGUGUCUGACUUCAAGGAGGUGCACCGCCCAUGGGCGUUACAGACCAGGUUCCAGGAAAGCUUUCCGCUGUUUCUGUGAAUCCCUGUUUGGCAGAGCACAAAAGCAUGUCCUGUUCUGCAGUGAAAUGCAUGUAAAAAAAAUUUGGUAAUACUGAUUUACAGUUGUGCUUGGAUUAUGCUGUGGAAGAAGGCUGAUGAGUUUAAGGCAAGCAGUCACACAAGUAGCUGUGGUGACAAGCUCAGUAACACAGUGCAGAGAAACAUAUUGUCACUGGGCUGAUCAAGCAGAGAAAUUACCUCAGUUUAUACUUGGGGAUGAACUCUGUGCUCCUCUGGCCAACAUGGACAGGAAGAGGACAGAUGUAAGGACAGAGUGGGGUUCAUUUUAACUUGAUUGCUUGUCUUGGUAUGCAGUGGAAGUAAAACGAGAUGAUUUAGAAAGAUAUUAAUUACUAUAAUUUCUUACUAUGUAAUAUUUGAUUGUUUUACUUGAGUAAGCAUAAAUUGGUAAAGCUCGCAUCAGGAAAUGUCACUGUUUGUGAAGGCCCAGCAGAGGUUGCUUUCUUCUCUUGAGUGACCAACAUUGUAAGAUCCUGUGUAUGUUCUUAGCAAUCAGAAAUGUUAUUUGACAAGCCAGGACAUUUUUAACCUGCUGAAGAGAGGCCCUCCUACAGCAGAGCUUAAUGACGUGGAUAAAGUUGCUAUUUGCGUUCUUCCUUUCAUACUUGAUAAGAAAAUGGAGGCUUGUAUUAUUAUUUUUUAAGGGCUAAGGACCUCUCAGUCAAGAUAAAUGAAAGGUGGUCUUUAGUGCUGUAACCACCAGCUGUGUUCAGAGCUGAACAACAGGAGUUGUUCUAAAUAUUGUUGGACUCCUACACAAAUGUUCAAGGGCUUAAUCUUGUAAUAUAAAUGUAUAUAAGUUGUUACACACAAAUGACUCUUUU
rnacentral:lncRNA from 1 species